rnacentral:rRNA from 1 species
UACGAAGGGGGCUAGCGUUGCUCGGAAUCACUGGGCUUAAAGCGUGUGUAGGCGGAUUCCUAAGUACCUUGUGAAAUCCCACGGCUCAACCGUGGAACUGCUCGGUAUACUGCGGAUCUUGAGCCACCUAGGGGCGAGCGGAACAAGUGGUGGAGCGGUGAAAUGCGUAGAUAUCACUUGGAACGCCAAUGGUGAAAACAGCUCGCUGGGGGUGUGCUGACGCUGAGACACGAAAGCCAGGGGAGCAAACGGG